UCUUUUUAUUGUGUGCCAGCCGCCGCGGUAAUACGUAGGUGGCGAGCGUUAUCCGGAAUGAUUGGGCGUAAAGGGUGCGUAGGUGGCAGAACAAGUCUGGAGUAAAAGGUAUGGGCUCAACCCGUACUGGCUCUGGAAACUGUUCAGCUAGAGAACAGAAGAGGACGGCGGAACUCCAUGUGUAGCGGUAAAAUGCGUAGAUAUAUGGAAGAACACCGGUGGCGAAGGCGGCCGUCUGGUCUGUUGCUGACACUGAAGCACGAAAGCGUGGGGAGCAAAUAGG
rnacentral:rRNA from 1 species